UCCAUAACAAGUGAAGCAGAGAGUGUGAGGGAGUCGGCGCCCAGAAAUUGCAGAGUUAAUUUAGGAAACCAUUUGAAAAGCACAAAUUCAAAGACAGCAAAGCAAUCUUUUCACUGUUACAAGAUCAAAAUGCCAUAAAUUAACUUUGUAUUCUUGGUCUGGGGUUGCUAAACCCAGCAUUAACUUUGUAUACAUAUUAUUGGUAUCCAGCACUAAGAAGCUUUUGAGAGUUUGGUCGAGACUUUAUUGGUCCAGCAUUAAGAAACUCUGGUAAAAGCUAUGUACCGGGCACAGACUGCUCUCUAAUACCCAGCAACAAGGCUUAACUCUCAAAGUUGUUACCUUUGUAGCUUUUUGUUCUCUGUAUCUCUUACCCAGCAACUAGAAUGCUUUUCCUUUCUCAACUUUCUAGCUCUCUCUCUCUCUCGCGCUCUCGUCGGGUACCUCUUUGGCAUCAGUCCUGUUCCUUUGUUUGUGACUAUUCAAGACUCUCAAAGGUAAAAGAUCUCAUCUAAUCCAGGGGCGGAUCCAUUCACAGACUAGGACGGGCUCCGAGAUUUUGAAGCCAAAAAAAAAAAUUAGAUGUAUGUUUUUUAUUUUUAUUUUUAAUUGGGGUUUGUCCAGACCAUUAAGCCCAGACCCCAGUCACUCUCGCGAUCUCACCCUAGUCCCGACUCGGAGACGCAGUCACGCUCUCAGUCUCUCCCACUUCCUCAGUUCCUUCUCCUCUCGUCAGUCGCCGCCUGCCUCAGCCGGCUCUCCCGAGUCCCGACUCCAUCUCCGAUUACACCAGUUAAAAAACGUCGGGCAAGCAAAACAGCUUCGAGACUGAGAGACCCAACCGCGCUACACUCGAUGCCCGAGUUUACUUGAGGUAAAUUCUAAUUAGAAUUUACCUCAAGUAAAUCUGUAAAGGGGGUGAAAGAAUAUGCACCGUUUGCUCCAUUCGAUGGUCAAAAAAUAUAAAAUAGUAGUCUUUCAAUUUCGAAUAGGGAGUCCAUAAUAUUAUAGAUAUAUAGUCUGUAAAUCUUAUUCUUAAGUACACUUUAUAUUGGUAGCUUCCUUUAUAAACUAAUUUUGUUUCGUUUUUUCCAGAUCUCUCAUUAAUGUGGUUGUCAAGGAGUUGGAAAUUAGAGGGAGUCUGACACAGAACUUUCAGCAAUAUCUCUUGCACGAGGCUAAUCAGCGCUUGGACCAAGCAUCAGACAAAUACAAUCGUAUGGAGGCGAGACAUUUUUUGGAUAUGUUGAGUAAAGAGCUACCCAUGUAAGCUUCCAAUCAUUGUUCUUUAUGAAUAUGUGCAUGAAUUCGAUGAAUGAUAUGAAUACAAUGCUUAGAACUACCAAAUAUACAAUGAAGUCUAAUAUUUUGUAUUGUAUGUAAUUCCUAUUGUAUUCCGAUUGCUGCUGUGAUUUGAUAGUUGGAUGUAUGAUGACUUCUUGCUUUUGUUUCGGUAAUAGGAGAUUCAAUAGUCUAGGAAUGUAUUGUUACUUUGAGGAUAGAUAGUGUUGCACUGCUGUUGAAAAUUGUGUUGCAGUAACACUUCAUUUUCAGAGUACUUGAAGAGAAUAUGAGAUGUGUAUAGGAUUGACACAAGCACUCUCUCCACUGCACUAUGUUAUUUGAUGUAGAAACACAUGGUGGGUAUGGAUCAUGUCCUUUUAGGUAUUCUCUACUUGCACCGUCAAUAUUUUGAUAUCCAAAUUCACUUACAUCACUGUGCAAUAAUCACAACCACUACUGCUGUUAGCAUUGCCUUUGGUACAUUUGUGCAUUCAGGAAUAUAUGCAUCACUGCAGCUUACGGCUUCCAUUUUCAAGUUAAUUGUAAAUUUUCAAUAGACUCAUCUAGAUGAACUCUGAUUAACCUGAUGGGUCGUUGAUCAAAUUUUUAAGUCAAUUGUGAAUUCUUAUUAGAUUCUUCUAGAUGAACUAUGAUUAUGACUAUAGCAAGGAUCACUGCUAAAAGAAAAAAAGGAGAGGAAGUUUUCAUAUUAGGAUCAUUGCAUACUUUAUAUUUCUGCACAAGUUAGUAAUUGAUUGUGAAUGACAAAAUUAAUGUUUUUCUCUAUUAUGUAAAGACGUAUUCUGAAAAAUAUGAGAAAUCAUCCUUGUUUACAAUAUGAUCGGCAGAGGACAUUUACAGUGUACAAUUUCUGGCAAUUUUCUCAACCUUAACAGAGUUGUCCCUUGAGAUAUUCACUUAUUGCAUCGAGAAUGACAUUGAUAUGGAUGAGUUUUUUGAAUAUCCGAAAACUAGUAAUGAGGUAGAGAUGGAGAGGAGAAUUCAGAGUGUAUUAGGAAUCGAUGUCGAGAUUGGAGGAAGUGGAGAUAUUAGAGGGAAGUUUGAAAGUAAAAACAUGUUUGAUCUGUUGCAAGAAGGGGAUGAACAGAGUCAGGGAGGAGAUGGGAGUAGUGGUGGUAAUGGCAGCCACGAAGGGAGUGAUAUUUCUACUGCUGUUGAAGAAGUCAGUGAC